AACACAAUUGUGGUUAUCAAAUGUGAUAAAAAAAACGUUCUGAAAACAGCUAAAAAUGGAUGAAUCAAAUUCUGCGAAAUCUGAGAAGAAGAAAAAAAACAGAGAAAGAAACAAAUUGUUAACUCAACUAAAAAAAUAAAACCUUCUCUCCUUUAUCUCUCUAACUCA